UACGAGUGCCUCAAGCGUUAUCCGGAAUCAUUGGGCGUAAAGGAUGUGUAGGUGGUCGUGUUAGUCUUUUGUUAAAUUCUUCGGCUUAACCGGGGGCAUGCAAAGGAAAAGGCACGACUAGAGGAUGCGAGGGGUCUGCGGAACUCAUAGUGUAGCGGUGAAAUGCGUUGAUAUUAUGGGGAACACCAAAAGCGAAGGCAGCAGACUGGAGCACUCCUGACACUGCAACAUGAAAGCGUGGGUCGCGAAUGGG
rnacentral:rRNA from 1 species